rfam:Danio rerio unplaced genomic contig NA618, GRCz11 reference primary assembly.
GCUAGGCUAGCUCAGUCGGUACAAUAUGAGACUCUUAAUCUCAGGGUCGUGGGUUUGAGCCCCACGUUGGGCG